rnacentral:rRNA from 1 species
AAUGGGCGAAAGCCUGAUCCAGCCAUGCCGCGUGAGUGAUGAAGGCCCUAGGGUUGUAAAGCUCUUUUGUGCGGGAAGAUAAUGACGGUACCGCAAGAAUAAGCCCCGGCUAACUUCGUGCCAGCAGCCGCGGUAAUACGAAGGGGGCUAGCGUUGCUCGGAAUCACUGGGCGUAAAGGGUGCGUAGGCGGAUUUUUAAGUCAGGGGUGAAAUCCUGGAGCUCAACUCCAGAACUGCCUUUGAUACUGGGAAUCUUGAGUUCGGGAGAGGUGAGUGGAACUGCGAGUGUAGAGGUGAAAUUCGUAGAUAUUCGCAAGAACACCAGUGGCGAAGGCGGCUCACUGGCCCGAUACUGACGCUGAGGCACGAAAGCGUGGGGAGCAAA